rnacentral:rRNA from 3 species
CUGCGGCAGCGAACGUAUCACCCAAGACAACUUUACGGAGUUGACGAUUGACGGAGCGAAGCGACGUCAAAGCGUUCAUUAAAGUCGAGUUGGCUUAGGGAUACGUUCGUUGGGUAGGGGAGCGUUCUGUAAGCCUGUGAAGGUGUGUCGUGAGGCAUGCUGGAGGUAUCAGAAGUGCGAAUGCUGACAUAAGUAACGAUAAAGCGGGUGAAAAGCCCGCUCGCCGGAAGACCAAGGGUUCCUGUCCAACGUUAAUCGGGGCAGGGUGAGUCGACCCCUAAGGCGAGGCCGAAAGGCGUAGUCGAUGGGAAACGGGUUAAUAUUCCCGUACUUGGUGUUACUGCGAAGGGGGGACGGAGAAGGCUAUGUUGGCCGGGCGACGGUUGUCCCGGUUUAAGCGUGUAGGUGUGUGUUCCAGGUAAAUCCGGUUCACUUUAACACUGAGGCGUGACGACGAGGCACUACGGUGCUGAAGCAACAAAUGCCCUGCUUCCAGGAAAAGCCUCUAAGCAUCAGGUAACAUCAAAUCGUACCCCAAACCGACACAGGUGGUCAGGUAGAGAAUACCAAGGCGCUUGAGAGAACUCGGGUGAAGGAACUAGGCAAAAUGGUGCCGUAACUUCGGGAGAAGGCACGCUGACACGUAGGUGAAGUGAUUUACUCA